AGGUNUCUACCGUAAGGAGGACGCUUGCCACGGAGUGGUCAAUGACUGGGGUG
rnacentral:rRNA from 1 species